rnacentral:lncRNA from 1 species
AAAAGCUUCAGCCAGAGCUCCAGCCUCAUUGUCCACCAGAGGACCCACACUGGGGAGAAGCCCGAUCAGUGCCCUGUCUCUGGAAAGAGAUUCAACAACAGUUCCUGGUUUAGCAGCCACCACCCAGUCCAUCCUGGGGAGAGCCCAUAUGAUUGUGAGCAGUGUGGGAAAAGCUUCAACAACAGCUCCCACUUCAGGGCCCGCCAGAAAACGCACACUGGGGAAAAGACUUACAGGUGCUGUCAGUGUGCAAAAAGCUUCACGAAGAACUCUGCCCUCAUACGCCAUCAGGGGGUACAUAAAUGAGAUACCCACAUCACAGGAAGGAGGAGAGAUGCCAUGAGUGUGUAGGAAACCUGACAGAUCAAUUCCUUAGGUCAACAUAUGUUAUUUAGAGCUUCCUUCUGCUUAUGGAGAGUUCUAUCAGCCAAUCCCUGGCUUAGCAGUAGAGUUACUGACAACCAGUUAAGCACUUCAGAACCACGUCCAGGAAUAGGAAUCAUCAUAAGAAUGAUAAACUCUUUCUAGCUCUGCCUAUGACUCCAGAGUAUUCUCUCACUGUGGACUUCAAUUUUGCUUUGAAGGGAAGAAGGCUGUAGAAUCUCGAGCCAUUACAGUGGCUAAGCAGUCAAACAUAUGGUCGCAACUCAAGCCUGAAAGAUCAGGCACAGCGGACUACUAACCUUGCCCUUCGACUGGAGGCAAGCAGAUGUAGAAGGUGCAGAUGUUGGUGACCUGCCUGGACUGAUGGAUUCAGACAGUGACGGGAUGUUAACAGAUAACCCUCUUCCUCUCUCCUACACCCUGGUCUCCUGUACCUCCCACCACUUCAACCUCUGACGGCUCAGCCUAACACACCACCAUCACCACCACCACCUCUCAGCCUUCCAGUGUGCUCACACUCUUCCCGAUUCUGGAUUCCUAACCACUUACCACAGACUGGAUCAGAUAUGCUCACAACCCAGAGAAGCAGGGCAAAGCCUACACAUUGUCAUCCUCGUCACACACCUCUUGUGGAUUCUCAGCCUAAGCUGGUGGAUGCAUGGUCACAGCCAAAACAAGAGCUGGGCCCGUCAAGCCUACUUAGCUCACUUUCCUUUCCUCUUGCCACCUCUUCUAUGCCUCUCCUGUGAGGGGACCGGCUUACCAGUCAUUUUAGGAACUGCCCAGGACUUCUGGGAUCCUGGACUCGAGUGUACCCAUAUCAUCGCUCACUUUCUCACAUGUGAAUGCUCGCUUUUACCAUUAUCAAUUCCAGACUCCGUGCAGUCCUGCUGCUCAUCCUUGGCUUGACUUCAGGGUAGAGACAAAGAGAAGGACUGAGCGUUCUUUACCUGCGGAGAACACAGGACUCUAGCAACUACCCUCACAGUUCCCUGUGGUAGGGCAGUUAGCCUGAAAGAUUUUGAACUUGGUGCCGCCCUGCUCUGGCAUCUGGAGGAAGCUGUGCUCCCGAAGCUGCUCAGGCAUUCCCCAUACACUUGGACAUUCUAGUGGCACCUCGGGAGUCUUGCAUAAAUUUUGGAUUUACUGAGAAUGGGAAGUAAAGUCUGGGUUUCCUGGCAGCCACACCACAUACCUGCUAUAAUGGGUUAAGUGACUUGCAUAGUGACUAAAGUUAAGGAGUUGGAUUUUGAACGUGGGUCAAGUCAAUUCCAAAGCCUUUAAUUCCUUCAGUCUGUCGUUCUCAACACUCUUUCUGACUAACGAUUUCUGUGAAACCUUGGAAUACAGACCUUAUACUGCAUGUGACUACCAUCAGGGUAGUCUCAUGGCAGGGGCCGCAGGUCCUGCGUCUUCAGGAGGACCCAGGUACAGCUUAGGCUUCAUGUCACACUCAUAACUAGCAACUAUCUCAAAGGCAUGCUGUUGUACCUGGCACUAGAUUAAAACCUAGUUAUUACAUAAUAUAGAUUAGACAUGCCCCCUAAGAAGCUUUUACGGCCUAAAGAUAGAAAAGGCAAAAAGAGACC